rnacentral:ncRNA from 1 species
AUAUUGUACACUAGAAGGAUGUCAUACCAGUGUCUAGGCACUGGGAUCCAGGAAUUUUGAUUAGACAUCAAGUUAGUGAGUAUAAAAGUAGCUAAUCUUAUAUCAAAACGCAACGGCUUUAAUGUGGUUGCAUUAAGGCUGGAUUCCAGUGUCAAGCACUGGAAUGACACCUUUGUGUUUGAUGCAA